AGAGUUUGAUCAUGGCUCAGGAUGAACGCUAGCGGCAGGCCUAAUACAUGCAAGUCGAGGGGCAGCGGUUCCAGCAAUGGAAGCCGGCGACCGGCGCACGGGUGCGUAACACGUAUGUAAUCUGCCCUUAACAGGGGGAUAGCCCGGAGAAAUCCGGAUUAAUACCCCAUAACAGAUGAAACAGCAUUGUUUUAUUUUGAAAGUUCCGACGGUUAAGGAUGAACAUGCGACUGAUUAGUUAGUUGGUGAGGUAACGGCUCACCAAGACCACGAUCAGUAGGGGUACUGAGAGGUUAUGCCCCCACACUGGUACUGAGACACGGACCAGACUCCUACGGGAGGCAGCAGUAAGGAAUAUUGGACAAUGGCCGCAAGGCUGAUCCAGCCAUGCCGCGUGCAGGAAGACGGACCUAUGGUUUGUAAACUGCUUUUGAACGGGAGAAAACCCCCCUUCGUGAAGGGGGCUGAUAGUACCGUUAGAAUAAGCAUCGGCUAACUUCGUGCCAGCAGCCGCGGUAAGACGAAGGAUGCAAGCGUUAUCCGGAUUCAU
rnacentral:rRNA from 1 species